UUAAAUUACAUAGCUUUUGCUAUUUUAAUUCAUUGGUUAAAGAUAUUUAUUUAUAUUGUAAAGUUUAAUAUUUGCAUCGUUGCAAAUUCUUUGGUUACCUUCUGUGAGAAAUUUAUAUAUUUUAUAUAACUAGUUUUAGAUUCUUAUUUUGAAUCCUCUGAGGACUGACAUUCAGUCCAACCAAGGAAAGCCAGGCUUUCCAACCAAGUAUCCAUUAGGUUAGUGCAUUAGCUACAUGUCUCCUUAGUACGAGUUAAUUUGUAAUCAUUGAAUGCUCC
rnacentral:lncRNA from 1 species